AGACCAUGGUGUGGGCACUAUCUCUGCAAAUCUUUAAAAUUUUCCCAGACUUCAAACAAGCUCCCAUCUGCCUAUUGAGUAAUAGAAAUAAUUUGGCUCCUCAGACG
rfam:Spinacia oleracea cultivar SynViroflay scaffold933.con0007.1, whole genome shotgun sequence.